rnacentral:rRNA from 1 species
GGAUCCCAUCAAAACUCCGAAGUUAAGCGUGCUUGGGCGAGAGUAGUACUAGGAUGGGUGACCUCCUGGGAAGUCCUCGUGUUGCAUUCCCC